UCUGUCUGUCUGUCUCUCUCUCCCAGGCCUUAUGACCUAUAGAAGCCAGGCGGUGCAGGAACAUGCCAGCACCAACAUGGGGCUGGAGGCCAUAAUUAGAAAGGCACUCAUGGGUAAAUAUGACCAGUGGGAAGAGUCCCCGCCACUCAGCGCCAAUGCUUUUAACCCUCUGAAUGCCAGUGCCAGCCUGCCCGCUGCUAUGCCCAUAACCGCUGCUGACGGACGGAGUGACCACACACUCACCUCGCCAGGUGGCGGCGGGAAGGCCAAGGUCUCUGGCAGACCCAGCAGCCGAAAAGCCAAGUCCCCGGCCCCGGGCCUGGCGUCUGGGGACCGGCCACCCUCUGUCUCCUCAGUGCACUCGGAGGGAGACUGCAACCGCCGGACGCCGCUCACCAACCGCGUGUGGGAGGACAGGCCCUCGUCCGCAGGUGGGCACCAGGUGGGGACAGGGCUGGGCUCGCCGAGCCCCCCGACACUGGGCUGUGAAUGCUGCCGGG
rnacentral:sRNA from 1 species